GCCUACGGGGGGCAGCAGUGGGGAAUAUUGCACAAUGGGCGAAAGCCUGAUGCAGCAACGCCGCGUGAGCGAUGAAGGCCUUCGGGUCGUAAAGCUCUGUCCUCAAGGAAGAUAAUGACGGUACUUGAGGAGGAAGCCCCGGCUAACUACGUGCCAGCAGCCGCGGUAAUACGUAGGGGGCUAGCGUUAUCCGGAUUUAUUGGGUUUAAAGGGUGCGUAGGCGGUCCGGAAAGUCAGCGGUAAAAGCCCGGGGCUCAACCCCGGCGAGCCGUUGAAACUGUCGGACUAGAGACGGCGAGAAGUAC
rnacentral:rRNA from 1 species